UUACUGCAAACCUUCUCACUUCUCUCUCAAACCUCUCUUCCCUUUUCUCUGCUGACUUUUUUUCUUUUUCACUACUCUCUCUGUUUUCAAUCUUCUUCCUCACAACUGGGGACAUCAUCUUCUUCAUCAUUUCAUUCAUCAUCAAUGGAUUGCUAUUCAUUACUCUUUACCAAGGAUUUAUCUUCUUAUUCAUCUUUCAGAUCUGAAACGGCUUCUGACUGGACCACCAGAUCUGAAAUUAAAACCACAAAAAUCAUCACCAGGUUUGAAAUCAAAACCAAUGGAUCUGUGAUGGAAACCUCCGGAUCUUAAAAAAGUUUAUUUUUAACCUUCAUCUUCAAGUGUUAGGCUUUAUAGAUUUCUGAGUUUUUUUCUUACCUUUUUUCAUUGUUUUAUUUUUCAGGCAUUGUUCUACAUCAAUGAGCCAUAACAUAUCUAUUUCCUCAAUGAGUUUUUCUCUUAACUACUUUUUCAGUAUUUGUAUGUUCUAUUUAUUCUUUCUUCAUCAUUUUUUUUCCUUUUGUUUGCAUGUUUGAUUUUGUGGUUGAUGUUAAGGUGUGAAAGUAACUGUAGCUUGAUGGAAUUUUUGGGAAGCUGUUGGAAUUUUUGAGGUUCCCACAUGCUACUACUGGUGUUUGAUGGUCUGCUUCUUCAAAAACAAGAUUUGCACAAGAAUUAAGGAGAGAGACUAUAUUUACCUUUCAAUUGAGUCUUUCCAAAGCACCAUGUCCAAUGGAACCAUUACUGCAGCAACCUACUCCUCAUUAUUUUUUUUUCUGAAUACCCUCAUCUAUGUAGUCGACGUGACAUUAUUGAAUUUUUAU